GCCGCGUUCGAGUGGGAGAGACGUAGCGCGCAUGCGCGGCGCGGAGAUGGGGAAGGGCGUCGAAUAAGGGGCGAGCGCCAGGCGGGUGUCACACCAGAAGUGGUUUUUGAAGAGGCAUUUGGCAAGGAAAGGCAGCUGUCUUUUGCCUCAACUCAAGGAGGAUUCCGUGAAUAUAUUGUAGCUUGGAAAGAGUAGUUAUGUGGAAUUGGAGCCAAGAAGGAAAGAUAAUGGAAACGUCCCUGGCAAAACAGGAAGUAAAAAUUUCAGAGACCAUCCAACAGACCGACUGCUAGCCUCUGUGUUCUGAAGUUGAUAAUACCACCAGCCACCAGAAGAUGCUAAACUUGGGAGCAGAAGAGAUGCAAACAGAAACAGAACUUGGCCAGUAGCAUCAACUGCUGAAUGUGAUGCUGUUGGGUUUUUUUUAUUGCUCACCCAGCCUGAAACUCAGCUUGCGUAUUAUCUUCCACUGGUAGCAGUUAAUACAUUGACCAGAUCAAAUCUUGAGUAAAGGAAAACAGAACCUCAAAUGCCAUGGUACCAUCCGUGUUCCAGGGGAAGUUUUUUCAGUUAUCAGUAGAAAUCAAAAAGGAUUGCCAAACUUGGGUCAAGCAAAGAGCAAAAAACUUUCACGUGAUAAAGUAUAUAACCAUCUCAGUUCUCAGAUGAGACAACAGGAUCAGAAUGAAGUCCCAAGGUACCCUGCUUUCAAAUACAGCAGUGGUUUCUAGUCCCAUCUAGAGUCCUCAUUUUGCUUCGUCACCCCUCUAGUCUACCAUUUCUAUAGAAUGAUGUUAACUUCCUCUUUGGUCCUCAUCAGACAAGCUGCCAAAAGGUACAAGGGCCUGAGAAAAGUUCUCCAAGCAGCAAACUGACCUCCCCAGAGGGGUCACUGCAAAAAAACAGCAGCUGUUUUAAAACAGCUUUGAGUCACACACUGCAGAAUCUUCUCUUUCCAAAAAGCUGGCUUUAAAAAAAAAGUCUUGUCCUUCUGGCUGAGGGAAGCAAGAGAAAGGUGGAAAGUAUUCUGAUAGAUUAAGCUGUGUAACUAGAUACAGCUGACUUGCAGGUAGUGCUCCAACUUCCUGCUGAAGAGCACACACUAAAACUAAACCCCUCAGGACACCAACUGCUGGUAGUUUAGCAGGUUGAUUCCACUCCCCUCCACAAACAAGUUUGCAGUUUCAGGAAGGGUCAACUUAAUACAACAGCAGUACCAACAGCAUUUUCCCCAGGUGUCACUUAAGUGGGGAUGGCAGUUGCUUUCCCAAGAGUUUCUGAAGCAAAGUGUCCCCCUUGCAGGCUUAUUAUGCCGGUAGGUCUGAUCGUUUCAGCCAUCUCAAAUUAGUGGAAGAAACUGUCCUUUGGGAUGACUGAAACUGUUUGGUUUUUGGUGAUUCCUAUGAAACUUAGCAUCACUAUAAAUUCUAGUGGAUUGCAUCUCCCCUCCCUACCCCAUCAAAAAGUCUACAGAAUGCCACUGUGUUGGUUGUCUCUGCAGAAAGACCAGGGCUGUAUGGGCACAAGGCUGAACAAGCCCAGAGUCAAUACAGUAGACCAAUUUUUAGGGUACCUUAAAUUGCAGCUGCCAGGAACACAAUUCCAGGAUUAGUACAAGUCAGUUUUAGAGUCAGUAGUCACCCUGUGAACACAUGCUCACAAACCAAGGCUGAAGUAGAAGUUUAAUGGCAACUUAUUCCAAGUCAUUUGCAAGACACCAUUAGACCUCAACUCUGCACAUCUAGAGGGUUAUAGGCCAAAAGCUGCACCUGAACCUGCUUUCUGCUUAUCUGCUGGAUUUCCAGUACAAAGACUCCCCACUAAUUUAGUUGGUUGAGCUUUCAACACUAGGCUACCAUACCCACCAUUGCUCAAAAGACAGCUGAGACCAGAACCCUUAGCACUGCUCUAAAGCUUGCACCAGAAGAACAGAGCCUAAAAAGGAAGAAAACAGAAGCCUGCAGCAGUGGGAAGGCCCGAAGAUGGAGCAUGCGCGUGCCUAUCUUCUCUAGGGCAAGCCCAUCAGCACAGAAGGAAAUUACAGAACUUUUUUUUAAACCAACUGUGGCAAAACCACUUCCUCAGAGCAAGUAGGGGCAAAACACUAGCACAGCAAGACAGAUAAAACUACAAGCUCCAAUCACAUAGUGCUGUCAUCCUCACUCCUACACUGAGCACCUGCAGCUGUGACCUCUUGUUUAAACACCUAAAGCAGGCAGACCGUUUUGCACAACAGCUGAUCAAUGGUUGUACAGGAGGAAGGCAGACAUGCCCUGGCUACCAAAGGAGGUCCCCUGGGCAAUUUCAUAGUGCCUGAAAACAAUGAAGAAAGUCUUCUCUGGCAACUUGGAGAACAAGUAAUCUUGCAAUGCAUCAGAAGUCAGAAUAAGGUGAAAGGCAAGAACAUGUGGGCUUUAUUUUCAGGACUGCCAGAGAGCUCAGCUCUUGAUCCAAGGCAAGACACUUAAUUUAUUGCUCAGUUUCCCUACCUAUGAAACAGUGAAGGUGUCACUUUAAUUCACAAAUGUUUAUAGCAGUAAUUCUCAACCAGGGUGCCAGGGAACCCAGAGGCCCCACUAGAUCCUCUAAAGCAGCAUUUCUCAGCCUGUGGGUCAUGACCCAAAAGUGAAUCACAAGAACAUAUGAAAGGGUCACAAGCAAACUUUAAAAAUGUAUCAACAAACUUUAAAAAUGGAUUAUCCUUUAAAGAAGAUAAAUGUAAGAAAUGUUGCUUUCUCCAGGGCUGCUUGGGGCCCUCCAUACACCCACCUCCCUGCCCCACACAGUGGAGGGCUGGGGGCAGUGGGUUGCGAGUAAGGGCACUGGGUCAGGACUGGCCACUGAUGUUUACAAAUGGGUCCUAGUACAAAAAAAGGUUGAGAACCACUGCUCUAAAAGCUGCUAUGAGAUGUGAGGAAAUAAGCACAUAAGUAGAUAAACUGCAAGUGUGAACUUGUCCCUGCCAGGCUGAUUUCCCCCCCAGGUAAGCACUAGUAUAUAUAUUUAGUUUUUAAAUUGGGUGCCACAAUUCACAGAAGUUACUGAGGGGUGCUGGUAAGUCCAGUGAGUCCACAGAAGUCCAGUGAGGGGCGCCUCAAGUCCAAAAAGGUUGAGAACCACAGGUUUAUAGCGUGCAAGCACAGUCAACAUGGAAGGUACCAUUAACCCAUGUGGUAUAAUUCUCUUUAGAGAUCAUAUUAGUGAAAUUGAUACUGGACAAAAGGGUCAGGUGUGGCCCCAAGAGAAACAUACAAGGAUCUUAGAUCCCCAUGAGAGAAAGGAACUAAAACAGAGUAGACAGAGGCCUAAAUACUGUAGGAUGAAGCAUCCUUACUAGUACGCACCUGCUUGAAAAUGCAAUCUGCGCUCAUCUCCCUGCUUAAAAGCACAAGGCAAAGGAACUCCCUCCUUUUUGGGUUAACAUAUCCUCCAAUCCCAGCAGAACUCCUGGGCAUGGGCAUGUUGCAGCAGAGACAACAACAGGCUAGAAUACAUUUGCAAAGAACAAUAGAAUUUCCUGCAAAAAGCCCAGUAAGUAAUAAAUGGCUGAAGAGCUAACACCAAGUUAGACAGUUUUAAUGGGCUAAAGAAAUGGCCGAGUAAGUGAAUGGAUGCUUUUCUCCUGAAUUCUUCUACCUCUGCACAUGAAGAAACAGCAUUUGCUGCCACACAGUAAUAUUUACAGGUUGCUAAGCGUUCCUCGAGGUCUGGAGCCAUUCCAUUCUCUAGAAGAGCACUGUGGUGUUCGUGCUGAGAAAGUCCUUCUGUGGGAGCACCCUUGACUUUUCACUGUGUGUGGCACUGAGCCCAUGAGUGUUAUAUAAGAAUUUGGCCAGAGCUGCAAGCUAGCAAUAAAAGUUGUAAUGAGCCAAUACUGAAGUGAAGAGCCAGAGGCCAUCUGACUCCAAACAAGGAUGAGGAAAUUCUAACUGCACCAAAUUGGAGCAAACUGGGGCCGAGAAACAAAAGGGGGGGGCCAACUGUCUUCCUAGAAAGUUGCAGCUGAACAGACUGAGCUUGCCAUGAUCUUUCCCUAUUUCUGUAUCCAUUUACCCAAUCCAGAAGUUUAUAACCCCCUCCAAUCCCAGACUCUUCAAAGGUAGCCUCUGUACC